UUUCCGUAGGUGAACCUGCGGAAGGAUCAUUACACGAUAGUACAGGCCCCAAGUGUAGAACAAACUACGCGGACGGGUUAUGUCUAUUACCCUUGUUUAUUGAGUACCUAUGUUUCCUUGGUGGGCUUGCCCGCCAAAAGGACACCCUAUGAAACCUUUUUAUUUUCAAUCAGCGUCUGAAUAAAAACAAUAAUUACAACUUUCAACAACGGAUCUCUUGGUUCUG
rnacentral:misc_RNA from 1 species